UAGGGAGCAAGCGUUGUCCGGAAUUACUGGGUGUAAAGGGAGCGUAGGCGGGAGGAUAAGUUGAAUGUGAAAUCUACAGGCUUAACCUGUAGCUGCGUUCAAAACUGUUCUUCUUGAGUGAAGUAGAGGCAGGCGGAAUUCCUAGUGUAGCGGUGAAAUGCGUAGAUAUUAGGAGGAACACCAGUGGCGAAGGCGGCCUGCUGGGCUUUUACUGACGCUGAGGCUCGAAAGCGUGGGUAGCAAA
rnacentral:rRNA from 1 species